GACGAACGCUGGCGGCGUGCUUAACACAUGCAAGUCGAACGGAAAGGCCCUGCUUUUGUGUGGUGCUCGAGUGGCGAACGGGUGAGUAACCCGUGAGUAACCUGCCCUUGACUUUGGGAUAACUUCAGGAAACUGGGGCUAAUACCGGAUAGGAGCUCCUGCUGCAUGGUGGGGGUUGGAAAGUUUCGGCGGUUGGGGAUGGACUCGCGGCUUAUCAGCUUGUUGGUGGGGUAGUGGCUUACCAAGGCUUUGAUGGGUAGCCGGCCUGAGAGGGUGACCGGCCACAUUGGGACUGAGAUACGGCCCAGACUGCUACGGGAGGCAGCAGUGGGGAAUACUGCACAAUGGGCGGAAGCCUGAUGCAGCAACGCCGCGUGCGGGAUGACGGCCUUCGGGUUGUAAACCGCUUUCGCCUGUGACGAAGCGUGAGUGACGGUAAUGGGUAAAGAAGCACCGGCUAACUACGUG
rnacentral:rRNA from 1 species